rnacentral:rRNA from 1 species
GCCCUUUCGGGGGUACACGAGCGGCGAACGGGUGAGUAACACGUGGGUGAUCUGCCCUGUACUUCGGGAUAAGCCUGGGAAACUGGGUCUAAUACCGGAUAUGACCACCGGUCGCAUGGUUGGUGGUGGAAAGAUUUAUCGGUGCAGGAUGGGCCCGCGGCCUAUCAGCUUGUUGGUGGGGUAAUGGCCUACCAAGGCGACGACGGGUAGCCGGCCUGAGAGGGCGACCGGCCACACUGGGACUGAGACACGGCCCAGACUCCUACGGGAGGCAGCAGUGGGGAAUAUUGCACAAUGGGCGAAAGCCUGAUGCAGCGACGCCGCGUGAGGGAUGACGGCCUUCGGGUUGUAAACCUCUUUCAGUAGGGACGAAGCGUAAGUGACGGUACCUGCAGAAGAAGCACCGGCCAACUACGUGCCAGCAGCCGCGGUAAUACGUAGGGUGCAAGCGUUGUCCGGAAUUACUGGGCGUAAAGAGCUCGUAGGCGGUUUGUCGCGUCGUCUGUGAAAACCAGCAGCUCAACUGUUGGCUUGCAGGCGAUACGGGCAGACUUGAGUAUUUCAGGGGAGACUGGAAUUCCUGGUGUAGCGGUGAAAUGCGCAGAUAUCAGGAGGAACACCGGUGGCGAAGGCGGGUCUCUGGGAAAUAACUGACGCUGAGGAGCGAAAGCGUGGGUAGCGAACAGGAUUAGAUACCCUGGUAGUCCACGCCGUAAACGGUGGGCGCUAGGUGUGGGUUUCCUUCCACGGGAUCCGUGCCGUAGCU